UUACCUUUGCCGCGCCAAGGUUUCCGAAGUAAGCUCAGGCUUACGGGAAUCAAUAGGGAACGCCGUGCAAUUCGGCGACAGUACCUGCUGCUGUGAGUUCCGGUCCUCCCGACAGGGAGAGGACGACUCCGCCACACAUAGCCACUGAUCCUCGGCGAUCGGGAAGGCGUCGGCGGAGAGGGGACAAGUCAGAAGACCUGCCUUGCGCACAUGCGUUAC
rnacentral:ncRNA from 2 species